rnacentral:misc_RNA from 1 species
GUGAUUAAAUCGAGCGUGUCUUCAUUGACCGCUCACCCUUCUCACCAUCCACAUACUCCUGUGCACUGUUUAGCCUGAGCCGGUUUUCCGGUCCAGGUUAUCAUUUCAUACAAACUCUAGUCUUAUGAAUGUAAACGUUUUAAUAACAUAAUA